rnacentral:lncRNA from 1 species
CCAGAAUACCAAGUGCAUCAUUUAUUACAUCGUAUGAUCCAGAAUAUAUAAAAUAAAAUAAUCUGCAUAGCACUUGGCUAGCUUUAUUCAAUCAAACAGCGGAAAUGUAGCAGCAAAUAACAAUGAGUCCCAUCAUAGCCCACUGGCGAUGCUGAGUGCAGACUCGCGACCCUAAAGGUACCUUACUCUUCGUCUGAAUAUCCUACAUGAGACGUUGCAGCCAUAUAGGUCAAUACUUUGAAUGUAUUGGCAAGUUACACAGGAGUAAUAAUAACAGACCUACAUGUAUAUGCAUAGUACAACAAAGGAAGGCUUGAGGGUUUAUUUUUGCAUAAAGCUGAUUUUAUCCUAAUAACUACCUAAUAGUCAAAUAAUUUAUUUAGUUCUUUUAUUACUACAAUUAAAUACACAAGGUUGAGUUGGCAAAAUCAACUCCAACCUACCCUUUUAUUAAGUUGCCCACAAAUAUUAUUAAGUGUCACAUCUGUCAAGAUCAUCCAACAACUGUAAUGGCAUAGUGGCUCAAAUUUACCCAUAACCGGGGGCACGGCUAAUCAUAAUUAGUUUUAAUACUCUACAGAGUUUAGUACGCUUUACCCACUGAACCCAAUCCGAAGAUUGAGACAAAGUCUUUCAAAAGAGGUUCCCUUAACCACCUGGCGGCCACAUCCCACCUACAUAAGCUACAUCUGUCGACAUUGUCUGGGCAAGGGUUCUAACAACUGAUCAACUAAGCCAGAGCCCAUAUAGCCAAUCGCCGCACAUGGAAGCUACUAGUCACUAAGUCUGUCUGAUCUUUUUGAACCUGGGCGGCAUUCCACUUAGGGUGCACUCUCAUGGGCGCAAGGCCUUAGAAAAGGUGCAAGACCCCAUGAUGCCUUCCCUCAAACACCAAGCAAUACCACUUCCGCCCAGAGGUGAGUUAAAUCCUGAGUUACUACUCAAUUGUUAUAUAUAUAUAAUCCUCACAUACACUCAAUGUAUACACGAACCACCCCCGUCUACAAAGCAUAGCAAACUACAACUACCACGAUUUGCAAAAGACGGGAAGAUAGCUCAACAUCAUAGCAAAAAUAAUAUAGUAAUCCUAUACAUGCAUAUAUUCAUAGUGUGAUAUAACUACAUGCAUAGAAAAUAAUAGGUAAAGGAUGAUCAACAUGUAACUUGCCUUGGUUCUGGUUCAGAAAGUCACACUCCUGACAAUAGUUCGCGUCGCACUCCGGACAAUCUACACGUUUCACACAAUUCAACAAAUCAAUCAUUGAAACACAAAUAGAACCAAAAUAAAACCAACAGCAAGAAAAUGAUUUUUAAAACUCAACAACAGAAGCUUAACAGCACCUAAAUUGCACUAUGGUCACAACGCAAAAAGAAUCACUCGAUUCCGAUAAGCGGUUUGAAAAUUACGGCCUCCGGAAGAUUUCAUUCAAAUUCAAACGAAUUCAAAUUUGAAAAGCGCAAACAUGUGCAAAGUUGGUAGUGUGAUAAAGUGUUGAUUUUUGUGAGUGCAUAGGAAAAAGAACUACCUAAAUUGGACUUAUAUAAUAAAAGAUAUAGCUAGUUGAUUUUUGGAUGAAAAUCUGUGAAAACAAAAGAAACAGAAAUCCCCUGGUUCCUGUGCGGCACUGUAGCUGCGCCUGUAGCAGUCUGCCACGUGGCAGUUUGUGAUUGGCCAAAGGCCCCUGUGCGCGUGCGUGCUCACCAGAAGCAGAGGACGGCGGCGGCUGCCUCGGGCGUCGGCGACGGCGAUUCUCCGGCGGUUCUCCGGCGAAGACGAAGGGACGGACGGGUCGGGCGUAGAGUGGCGGAGGUGGUGCUGGUGUUCAACGGCGGCGGGGCGUCAGCGGCGGUGGGGAUGGACGACAGCUGCCCCAAAGUCAAACGAACUCCAGCGACUCGGCUACCUCGCUCCCGUGCUCUGUGGCCAAAACAGGCCCGUCAAGAAGAUGCAGAAUCGAACGGGGAAUCGAACGGAGCAGGCGGUGAGGCUUGGCGCGUUCUUACGGUGACGGCAACGACCGGCGAAUGGCGGCGGUCUCAAGUUCCUCCGACGAGAUCCGUUUCGCCCUCGCUCGAGCGUGCGGCAACGAGGAAGAACGAGGAGUGGAUGCGGGGUCUCCCUGGGUCUUCUGCUUGCACACGGCGACUCGGGAGCGCUCGAGGUGGACCAAGGACGCGAGGUGAACCGGCUCGGCCUCGGCGUGCGUGCGGUGCGCGCGUGUGGUGUCCGGCUCGGGAGGGACGAACAGGGGCGCGAGUGGGUCCCGCUGUUAGCGGCUGGAGCGAUGCGGGUCGGGCACGGGCAGCGCUGCUGCGUAUCACUUCGCGGGAAGUGGGCUGCGGGUCAGGUGCGGGUCCCCCCGGUCAGUGGCCCGAGGCAACGGCGGAUCGGGCGUGGCGCUGCUGGCUGCUGCGUACCGCUUCGCGGGAAGCUGGGCCACGGUUGUGCGGGCGCCUGUUGGGCCGCGGUGCAGCGCUGCGUGCUGUGUUUUUUUUUCUCUUUAACGAAAACUACAGCAGUAAAUAACUAAAAUUAAAACAACACUAUAAAAACAAAAUAAAAAUACGUAGACACACAGUAAAAUCUAUACUGCUAAUAUAAACUACAGGAACACUAGUUCCUCACCUAAUGCAAUUUCAGAAAUUCAUUUUGAUGCAAAAGGCCACACAAACAGCAACAAAACAGUCAAAUAAAAUACUUUGGAGACUAACAAAAAUACCAGAACAUAACAGAUGAACUGAAAAUAAUAUUCUUGACAUUAUGAACAUUUUUAAACAGGAGAGAAGUCAUGUUAUCUCCACUCCAAUAAAUUGCCCUUAGUUGCAUAAUGAAAAGAAUAUUGCAGAAGAGCAAAUAAUGCAUGGAAAAUAUGAUAUGCAUAUGUAUGAUCUAAUAACAUCCUAAUUUAGGAAAAUUGGGAUGUUACACCAGGUCCGCGCUUGGCCGCGCCCACCCACCGCCGGAGCCGCGCCAGCCUGCGCUGGAGCGAGCCCGUCGAGCAGCACCCGACUGAGCACCAAGUCUGGCCGAGCCGAGCACGCCCAGCCACCACCGUCCCGCAGCAUCACCGCCUGGAGCAGCGGAGCAGCGCCGCCCCCGCUGUCGAGAACGGCGAUCGAGGGGUCCCGCCGCCGCCACGCUGCCAGGGCUUUGCCCGGCGACGCCUCCGGCGGCGGCGAGAAGAGAGGAAGGCGCAGGGGGGGCUGCUCGAGCCCGCAGGGGCGCCCCGGUGCGGCCCGGCGCGGCCGCACGGGAGCGGGACAGGAAGAGGGGGAGGGCCGGACUCGAACUCCUCCGCGGGAAGAGGGUUGGCGAAGACGGCGCCGGGCUUCGGGAUGGAUGGAGAGAGGACGCCGGGAGGGUCCCGGAUCUGUGCUUGGCUGGGCCUGAGGUGGCCGGAGGGAAGAGAUCAGCCGGCGGCGGCGGCGCCUGCACCUGCGCGAGCGCGAGCGCGAGCGCGAGACCUAGUUUCAGGAGCUUUGUAUUAUAUAAAAGGUAUUGUGGCCUACACAAAGGCUGUGCUGGUACU